GUCCAUAUUACCCUCCGUGGUUUUAUGGACAUUUGGUCAAUUUGAAACAAUACAGAGAUGAUCAGCAGUUCCCCUGCAUAAGGAUGAACCGUUUUACAAAGAGAUUUAAGAUUUUUUU
rnacentral:snRNA from 15 species